rnacentral:rRNA from 1 species
CGUGUAAAUGUCGGGAAUGAAGCCGCUCAUUACGGCAACCCGGCCUCUCCCGCG